AACGGUGUAUACAUGUAUGAAACUGGGUCAGAGAAAACAUGCAGUUAUUGCUCUGAAUAUACGCGGAUAUUUAAAGUGCAUUGCGGAUUUAUUGAUUGUUAUGGACAACCACCCGGAAGUAAGAGAUAUAAAGGAUCACUGCAGUUUUGACUAUGCUGAACAAGUAUUUACACAAAUUAUGCUCAGCAAGUGGAGGUGCUGUGAAUUCUCAUGCAGGGCUCUCAGAUUGUCUACCUAGUGUAUGAAAAGCACAGUACUACUGUUGGAAGAGGAGCAAACAGUGUGGUAUCUAUGGUCCCCCAUCACUUCAAGCAUCAUGGCUAUGGAGAAAAGAAUGUUUCAUUACAUAUGGACAAUUAUAGUGGACAAGAUAAGAAAAGUGUUGUAAUAAGUUAUGGAAUGUGGCUUGUUAUGAUCAGAUGGGUCUACAUGAUGACUUGGAGUACAACCUGAUGGAGGCCGGGCAUACAGAAUUCAGUCCUGAACAUGUUUAGAAUAUCUUCUGCAUGACCUGGUAUAGUAUUCUUGAAGGAUUAUAACUUCAACACAGAGACGGAGAUUAAUAUUUUAGGCAGCGGGUUGGCAUGACAGGCAAAUUCUCCAACCGUAUUACCAUUCCUGAGCUGGAUGCCAGUCGACAGUGGUACCUGUAUAAUGAAAAAGUGCCCCUUUGCGGCAACAGCAAUGUAUGCUCAAAACCAGCAGUGCUAAAGUCAUUAAAUUGAAAACUCAAUCAUUUAAAACGAAGAAUGAAUGGAAAAAAGUGUUUAACAUUUAAAGUAAUACAGAGAAAGAGCACAGCUCAAUUGGUAUUGUAUUGAUCGAAAACUAAAAACUAUUAAUUAAAGAGAUCUUGACUACAUAUCUCUUCUGAUCAAAGUUGUAUUAUAGUAUAUUCUCGAUAUCUUAAAUCAAAGUCAAGUUGCUUCCCUUUAACUGUCAUUACCAGAACGGCAAAUUGUACCACAUGAAGAAUCUUCUAUCAUUAUAACAAAUUUAUUUUAAGCAAUAAUAACAUGUAAGCACUUUAACUUAUUUAAUAAGUUAAUACUGAUGUAAGAAUUAAAAGAUUAAUAAAACGGACAAUUAUGUUAAACUUUCGACGUUGUCACUGGCGGCGUUUAAUAAUAUGAAAACGAGAUACAUAAAGACAGUGUAUGAUUCAUUUUCAGGUGUAUGAUUUACUUUUUCAGUUAUAACACAAAAACUUCAAACAUCUCAUAAAGUGUAUACUUUUUAGGAGUUAUUGUUUUAUUUAUUUUAUCCGGUAAAGAAAAUGGUUAACAGAGAUGAUAUAAUUAUUUAAAUUUUAUUUACUUCCCUUUAACUGUUUCACGACAGGAACGACAAGUAUUCUUAUAUCAGUAUAACAGAUUUAUAUAACAUGUCAUUAGCUGCAAGUUAUCACUGUUGUCAAGCCGAGCUACAGUCCGUACCGCACUACUUAUAUAGCUGUUACGGCAACACGUCUUCAGCUGCGAGUUCGCUGUUGGCUACAAUUCGCUCUCUCUCGAGGGAGACAUUUCUGGAAUACGUUGCGUCUAUCUGCUAACCAGUUCAGCUUUUCGAUGCAGAAAGGGUACUUAUAAGUAAAUGGUUUUGCUCGACCUGCGUCUUACUCAUAUGUCGUAGUUUGCCUGAAAUUGAAAUGAAUGUAUGAAAAUAACACACUCGGGAUCGGAUGUCAAAUUCAACCAUAAUAUAUAAAUCAAAGAGUUUGAGUUUUCCGCAAGUUUGUGUACAUAACCGUCACUCUAACUGACAUAUUGAAACAUUCCACAUACCUAUGAGCAGAAUGGUGUACGGUUAAAUUAAGGAGAAGCGGAAUUUCGAAAAUUUGACGAAGACAGGGUUCAG